rnacentral:lncRNA from 1 species
CUCAGAAGGUUUGCACAUAUCUCAGAAGACUUGAGUGUUAACAGAGGAUCAGAUAGGAGCGCUGUCAGGCUCAGGACCCUGCUAAGAUUGCUGCUGGAGUUCUGAUUUCACUGUUUAUUUCCUGUGGGAGGAGGGCUKCACAAAACGCUGCGAGUCAAGGUCCUCUCUGACUACAGCUGACAUCAGAAGAAUUCAGCAUCUUCAGUCUAA